UCCGGUGUGGUGUAUCGGUUUAUCAUUCCGCGUUUUCAAUCCUUCAGGAACAAGAACCGCGGCGAGCGGGGUUCGACUCCCCGCACCGGAG